rnacentral:lncRNA from 1 species
GGCUCUUUUGGUUUGGCUUUUAACGUCAGUGAGGUGCAGUUGGGGUAGCAACCUCACUGAUAUAUUGUUUGGUUCAGCAACACAGUGCAGUGAAAGUUGAUUUCAACCACACCGCUAUGCUGAAAAGGAGCUGGAGGUUUCAGCAGCAAUUGAAGGCAGUGGUGUAGUAGGUAUUUUUAACAUAUAAAAACACCCUUGCUUUUAUUUAUUAUUUUACCAUUUUAUCCUUAAAAGUUAAACUAAUUUCUUUCCCAACCUUAUUUUUUUUUCAGAUUUGGGAAGAAAACAGUCGUUUUGUUUUUUCAUAUUUGAUAACUGAAACAGUGAUUGAACCUGGUUUCUCCCCUCUUUUUUGCUUUGUUCUUGGUUGUGGCUACUACAAAACUGAAGUAAGCAAGAUCAAGUGUUUCCAGGUAUGCCCACUUUCUUCUCUCUUUUUUUCUUGUCUGAAUAUAAACUGUGUUGAGUUUGCUGCAAAAUGAGCUACAAUGUCAUAUCUUGUUAUUGCUUGUAACUAGUAGCUUGGAUCUUCACAAUUUUGGGGUUUCCUGAAAUCCACGACUUUUUUGGGGUAUUAUUUGAAUAAGACUCUGUUAAAAGUUGAGAAGUUUCAAAAAAAUGGGUAAAUUGCAUGUAAUUUGUUCAUCUUUGGGAAGUUUUACAGAUUUUUGUAAAGAUUUUGUGAUUUCUAAGUUUCUGUUGAAAGUUGGAUAAGGUUAGCCAUUUCAAUUUGCUUUUGGUUAUUGGAUGAUAGGAAAGGCUAACUUUGGUAGGGUUGACUCAUUUUAGUUUUAACCAGAGUGACCAUAAAUGUUGGGAAAUAAUGCAAAAUUUAGUUCUUGAAAGGAACAAAGAAUAAUGUACUAAUUUAUAAACCACCAGCAUUGGAGCCUAUGGGAAAAAAACAGCAAAGAGAUUGAAACAAAAUCAAUCUAAACCCAUUUGUGAAACAAAGAAUCUAUGGAAAAUAACAAAAAGAAAAGCAGAACAAGUAAAAAGAAAAAGAGAACAUACCCGUUUUUCUUGCAUGGUUUUCUGAUAUGAGUAGACUAUGAACUAAUGUAUUAGAUAAUACUUGAUGCUUUAAAACCAUGAUUAUAAUUCCUACAAACCCUGAAAAAAUAACUGUUGACCCAGAAAUACCAAAAAAGAACCAUAGGGUGAUCCAACUGACCAGUUUCCCAUUUGCCAUGGAGAGGAUUUUAGGGAUUAAGGUGUCGACGAUGAUAAUCCCGUAGGUUUGGAGGAUAGAUUACCUUGUCUUUAAAACCCCUUGAAAUUUACCAAACCGAACAUACCAAGGUGAUGUUUUACAGGUCCCAUCAGGUUGUUCAACUAUAAUUAUAUCAGCAGCACCACCAAAGGGAUGAAAUGGACCAGACACAGUAUAAACGCCACGAGACAUAUAGCUACCUAGUCUCCCCACAGCAUACAUCCUCUUCCCUUUGAAAAUUCUAAAGACACACCCAGAUCUUCAGUUGAAAAUUCAACCAUAAUUUAAAAUCCCAAUCCCAAAAGAUUGCCUUUUUGUCAAUUGGGAUUCUUCAAAUCUCACUCCAAAAAGUAUAGAACUUACAAUUCUGCAAAUACCUAGAUUAUAAAACUCAAAACCAAUAAAUAAUUCAAGAACACGAUCAAUUAAAAAAAUGCUUUUUCUUAGCUAAAGAAAAAAUAACGCACCAGUUAGAAAGUUACAAAACUGAUGAACAGAGCAAUAGUGAGACAAUAACGUAUAAAUUUGGGAAUUGUUCAACGCUCAGUGAACUCCACAAAAAAGAAACAAGAAAAACAUGAAUCAAAGCAAACCAAACAAGAUUAAUAAAAAAAACAGCUGAGAAACUCUGGGUUUUUUUUUCUAUUUUAUAGUAUAUUUCUCAAUUGUAAAUUCAAAAAGAAAAAAGAAAAAAAGGGAUUUGAAUACUUGAUUGAACCAAUCAAAAUAAAAAUAAAUAAAUGGGGAAAAAAGAGGGCAGUUGAUAGAAUUAAAGCAUAUUCGUUCUUUUGAUCAUUAGAAUGUAUCCAGAAAGAAACAAAUUAUAUCAUUAAAAACCCAACAAAUAAAAAUUUUUAGAAAAAUAUAUAUAACAAAAAAUUAAAGAAAACGAAAUGAACCUGGGAAAGUUCAAAGCUUAUAGAGUGAGGCUUAUGAGCAAAAUAGAGAGAGAUUUUGUAUAUUAGGUGUGUACCUCGGAAAUGUUGAGACUCGAGUGAGUAAGAAAAAGAAGAAAAGAGAUUAACAGCGAAAGUUCAUUUUGCUAUUCUAAGUAAAGAGUCAAAUUAUGGUUUUGGUCCUUCUCUUAUGCUCAAUUUUUGUGCUUAGUCUAUAUGCUUUCUUUUAAGGGUAAACUACACCAUUAGUCACUAAACUAUGGGUAACUUUUCGUUUUGGUCCAUUCGUGAUGUAUUAUUCUUAUUUUUUAUGAAACUAUAUUAUUAUAUCUAAUUAUAUAUUUAUGGUUUUAUGUCGGUUGACAUUUAAAAUCAAAAUAAUAAUAAUAGAUGGUAAAGACACGAAAUUUUAAGGUUUUAAUAAAAAUUUUAAUUUGCCAAAAAAAAUCAAGGUUUUUGCUUCCAUUAUAAAUUAAUUACAAUUUAUAUUAAAUAUAGAGUGUUGAAAUAAAUUUAUAAAUAAUAGUUAUAUUAGCUCAUGAAAAUAUAAUUGCAUCACCAACUAUAAUUGCAACUAUAAUCAUAAUUAACAUGCUAAUAAUAAAUUAUUAGAGUAAAUGUAAUAAUUUUAAUUUUAAUGUAUGACCUGUAUUGUUUCAUUAUUAAAAAAAAGAGAGAUUUAUGUUUUUUUAUUAUACUUCUAUUUUAUUUGGUAAAAAAAUAAAGACUAAACUAAUUAAAAUAAUAAAAACAAAAAAUUAAAUCGAUCCAAAAUUUAAGAUUACUCAAUGAAUGAGUUAAUUGCACUAGAAAUCUUUAGACCAUGACAUUUAUUCUAAGUUGGUCCUCAAAUUUUAAAAUAUUCUAAUUACAUGUUUAAAUUAUUUAUAUUAUAUAAAUCAAACCUUUUCGUUACUAAAAUUAAAUGUGACAUAAUUUAAAAUAAAAGCUUUAAAGAAUAUUGAUAUUGUAAAAGUGAAUGUUAUGAAAAUCUUGAUUAUGAGGUUUUUUGAAGUUUUUACAGGAAGCAUAUUUCACUCUUAUUCUUAACUUCAUUUUUAGUUAUAAAUUUUAAAAAUUAAGCAACAUUUUACUUUUAUGUCAUAUGAUUUUGCAUGUCAUUGAAUGAUUAAAUUAAAAAAUAAAAAAAUGAAAAUACCUAAUUGAUAUAACAUAAAUAGUUUGAGAAUGUAAUUAAAAUGUAACCAAUUUAAAGAAUGCUUUGGUGCAAUUAGGUCUUUAAAGAAAAUUGUCUGAAACCUUAUAUGUUAAAUACUAUAUUUUAACUUUCUUUUUUUGUCUGAAACCCUCCAGUAUCUAGUAAAUUGAAUCAAGUUGAACCUUUAAACGAGAUAAAUAUUUUUUUCUACAGUCUCACACCUAUCUCCCAAAUACCAAUCAUCCAUUAAAUAAUAAAUUCAAUUAUCAGCUCAAUAGCAAUUGACACUUAAAACAUAGCUGUCAAAUAGAUUAUAGGUCAUAGCUCAUAAUCAGUUAUCUGUUGAUCAUCACAGUUGUUUCAAGAAAAGAAAUAUCACAUUGAUGUAUUGGACAAAGCAAUUCUUGAUGACUAGUGUUGCUAAGAAAAACAUAAGGAAUGAAGUUUGCUUACACUUUUGAAAAGAUAGUCAUAAUCAAUUAUCCUUUCUAUAUCCUCGUUAUUGUUUACCAUAGAUCUUUGAGAAUUUUUUCUUUAGUGCUCAUCUUAUGGCUUUCAUCUUUUUGUGAUGUGUUAUUCUUAAUUUUUUAUGAAACUAUAUUAUUUUAUCUAAUUAUAUAUUUAUGGUUUUAUGUCGGUUGACAUUUAAAAUCAAAAUAAUAAUAAUAGAUGGUAAAGACACGAAAAUUUGUGGAGGGAGAUAGUACCUUAGCAACCAAAGUUGUUUGAAAUGAUGAGCUGACGUUGAUAUUUUGUGAACUUUGCGUGAAUGAAGUCAAUGCUGGUAAUAGAUCGACAACUCAUCUAAACUCAAAAGGAUGGGAAAAUGUCAUUGCUCUUUUUCAAGCAAAAACAAAAAAAAAUUAUGGAAAACCUCAAUUGAAAAAUAAGUGGGAUACAUUAAAAAAGGAAUGGAGGUUAUGGAGGGAGUUGCUUAAGGAAUCUACAAGUAUUGGAUGGUGUCCAUCUAAAAAGGCGGUCGAUGCUACCGAAGAAUGGUGGGUUGAAAAAAUAAAGGUUAGUGUUAACUUUAUCAUUAUUUUAAUGCAUAAAGUUUAUUGAAAUUAAUAAUUUACAAAUAUAAAAAUCUGAGUAUAACAUUUAACAUUUAACAUUUAACAUUUAACAUGUUUUGUAGGAAAAUCCUGAUUUUAAAGGAUUUAAGAAAAAAGGAAUUGAACCACAAUUGAAUGAUUUAAUGUGGCAAAUGUUUGGUGGCAUUUUAGCCACUGGAAAGAAUGCAUGGGCACCUUCGUCUGGUGUUCUUCCAAGUGGGGUUCCUAUGGGAGAUGAUACACCUAAUGAGGGAUUUGGUGAUUCAGAUGAAAAUAGUAAUGAGAAUGAAGGUAUCCCUCCUAAUGAGGUACCAUCAAACCCUUCUCAUGAAACUCCUAAUCAAAGAACGGAAACACUUGGGGUUGUACACGGUAAAGGAAAAAAAUCAAGUUCAAGUAGAAAAUCAUCAAGAAAUUCAUUAGCUACUCAUAUUGAGAAAUUGUGUGAGAGUAUGGCUAGUCCAAGAAAGUCAGUGAAUGAAAUUAUUUUUCCUCACUCUCAAUAUACUAUUUCAAAUGCAAUGGAUACUUUGCAUGAUUUGGGAGAUGAAAUUCCAAAAAAAGAUGAAUUGUACUAUUUUGCCAUCAAAAUGUUCCAAAUACAUGUGAAACGAGAAGUGUUUUUGAACGUAGAUCCAGAUGUUAGGGUUUGGUGGCUUCGACGUGAGUAUGCUGAACAAAAUCCAAUUGCAUCAUUUUCAUCCUUGGUAGCAACAUCCUCAUUUCCCUUCCAACCGUACCGUCCACCACCUCCACCAUAAACUCCUUAGAAUUAUUAUUGUGAUAUAACUAUACUACUUUUUUAUAUGUAAAACUAAUGUAUGAUCUACUUUUUUAUAUGCAAAACUAAUGUAUGAUCAACUUUUUUAUAUGUAAACCUAAUGUAUGAUC